UGUCAGAAGUCUGUUUUUCUCAAGUUAGCAACAAAACAAAAAUAUUUAAUCCAUAUUUGUUUUACACAAAUAUUUUUACAUAAUUUUUUUCCCUCAUACAACUGUUUCAUGCUUUGGGUACACUGAUGAAAAUGAGAAAGAGUAAAUCCCGAUUGCCAGCCGUCUCAUGCAAACUAUGUAUAUCAAUUAAGAUGGGCGCAACAUGAGGAGUUGAAUUAGGAUGUCCAGAUUUACAGUUUAUCCCAAGGCAAGCCGCUUCAGCACCUGGGCCGACUCUCUGGGUUAUUUCUUCUUGUUUACGUGUGAACAAUGGUUGUGGAGUUUCGAGGCUUGAAAAGUGCUCUGACAAGGCAAAGGAAAACCCAAGGAUGCGAAAUUUCUCACUGAAUUAUGCUGCUGUUUAUUUCCCCUCCCAAAAGCUGGUAUGCCUCUAUCUUUGCAAUGCAC